GACGAACCGUCCUAACGUUGUUCGGAAUCACUGGGCUUAAAGGGCGCGUAGGCGGGUGACCAAGUCCGGGGUGAAAUCUUUCGGCUUAACCGGAAAACAGCCUUGGAUACUGGUCAUCUCGAGGGAGGUAGGGGUCUGCGGAACUUCUGGUGGAGCGGUGAAAUGCGUUGAUAUCAGAAGGAACGCCGGUGGCGAAAGCGGCGGACUGGACCUUCACUGACGCUGAGGCGCGAAAGCUAGGGGAGCAAACGGG
rnacentral:rRNA from 1 species